AGAGUUUGAUCCUGGCUCAGGAUAAACGCUGGCGGCGUGCCUAACACAUGCAAGUCGAACGUCCUGCGCAAGCAGGGAGUGGCGGACGGGUGAGUAACACGUGGGAAUCUCCCUCCAGGAGCGGAAUACCGGGCAGAAAUGCGCGACAAAACCGCAUGAGCUUCUUUAGAAGCAAAGUUGCAAGACGCCUGGAGAUGAGC
rnacentral:rRNA from 1 species